rfam:Arabidopsis thaliana chromosome 5, complete sequence.
GUGUAGCCAAAGUCCUUAUGAGUCUUUGUCUUUGUAUCUUCUAACAAGGAUACAAUACUUAGGCUUUUAAAAUCUGGUUGCAG